rnacentral:rRNA from 1 species
UACGUAGGUGGCAAGCGUUGUCCGGAUUUAUUGGGCGUAAAGGGAGCGCAGGCGGUUCUUUAAGUCUGCUGUGAAAGCCCCCGGCUCAACCGGGGAAUGGCAUUGGAAACUGGGUCACUUGAGUGCAGAAGAGGAAAGCGGAAUUCCAUGUGUAGCGGUGAAAUGCGUAGAUAUCUGGAGGAAUACCAGUGGCGAAGGCGGCUUUCUGGACUGUAACUGACGCUGAGGCGCGAAAGCGUGGGUAGCAAACAGG